rnacentral:rRNA from 1 species
AGAGAGAGACAUGCGCGCAUAUCAAUAAGCGGAGGAAAAGAAACUAACAAGGAUUCCCCUAGUAACGGCGAGUGAAGCGGGAAGAGCUCAAAUUUGAAAUCUUAAAGGGUUUCCCUUUACGAAUUGUAGUUUAAAGAAGUGUUUUCUGUUGAGGUUUUGGUAAAAGUUCUUUGGAAUAGGACAUCAUAGAGGGUGAGAAUCCCGUAUUUGACCUUUACUUUCAACUUUGUGAUACACUUUCAAAGAGUCGGAUUGUUUGGGAAUGCAGUCCAAAAUGGGUGGUAAAUUUCAUCUAAAGCUAAAUAUUGGUGAGAGACCGAUAGCGAACAAGUACCGUGAGGGAAAGAUGAAAAGAACUUUGAAAAGAGAGUUAAACAGUACGUGAAAUUGUCAAAAGGGAAGCGUUUGACACCAGUGUUGUUUUUCUGAAAAUCAAUUAAAGAACUGUUUAUGCUAAGCUGUUUAGACUUUAUCAGCUAUCUGUUUAGUUUUGAGCUUUUCUUUAAUGCACUUUUCAGUUAACAAGUCAACAUCAAUUUCUUUUGCUGUAAAAAAGCUUGAGGAAGGUGGCUUGAGAUUCGUCUUAAGUGUUUAUAGCCUCUUGCCUAUGCAGUCGGAGAGAUUGAGGUCUGCAGCGUAGAUCCUUCGGGGCUAAAUGCAUUUGUGCUAAGUUAUAGCAUUUUAUAGACAACUUGUUGACUAUGAUUUGUCUUGUAGCUUACUCGCUUAUGUUAUUUUACCUACGCUUAGGAUGUUGACGCAUGAGAUAUACGC